AAAAACAAGCACCAUCUUCAUACCUGCUGAAAUCUAAUUCUCAUCCAGAGGGAUGUGAGGAAUAAAGGGGGCAGUGAUACCAACAGCGGGCGUAGACAGCCCAUCCAUCCCACGCAGGUAAUGAAGCUGAUGCUUAGAGAGGUUGAGUAAUCCACCCAUGUCUCUCUGACCCAGGUCUGACCACCAUACUAUUGCCUGCAGAUGAAGAGGAGCAACAUAUUGUAUCCUGUGUUGCUCAAGAGAGCAGAAUUAGGACUUAGAAUAGCCUUCUAAGAAUUGCUCUGUGCCACCAAAUGGGUGGCAGACUUCUAGACAAGUUUUCUAAACUUGUCAGCCUCAACUACAAGUGAGCUGGUGAGAGAAAACAAACAUCACUAUCCAGGGGCUUUUGCUGGACUUACUGAAUGUAACAGAGAUCGGAUUGGAUUGUCUCUAAUGUCUGUUUCACGAAUAGAGUUCUGUAAAUAGUC
rnacentral:lncRNA from 10 species